GUUUUAUAAGGGCUGGGAUGAAACCUUGGGCACCGUUUAUAUGAUAUGGAGUGAAUCGUGUUAUCACAGAGUUCUGCUGCACUUGGAAUAGAGGGGCACCUAUAAUAAAACAACACUGAAGGAAAGCACACAAAACCAUUCACUGACUAUCGCAAGGACAAAUCUGGACCACUUCCGUGUGACGGGAUGCCAGAGAUUCUCCAGGGGACCAGUUUCUGUGAAACUUUUUGCCUCAGGACUGCAGCCAAGCUUUUGGGCUUGUCACGCAGACUCCACUGGAGUGGGUGUGGCAGUGAGAUGCUUCCAGAACUAGGCCCAAUUUAACAGACGGAGGCAGUAAGCCUUGGAGAUGACAAUUACAUCAGGUGAAUAAAAGAUACUAUUACGGCUC
rnacentral:lncRNA from 1 species